rnacentral:rRNA from 1 species
GACGAACGCUGGCGGCGUGCCUAAUACAUGCAAGUAGAACGCACAGUUUAUACCGUAGCUUGCUACACCAUAAACUGUGAGUUGCGAACGGGUGAGUAACGCGUAGGUAACCUGCCUGGUAGCGGGGGAUAACUAUUGGAAACGAUAGCUAAUACCGCAUAAUAUUAAUUAUUGCAUGAUAAUUGAUUGAAAGAUGCAAUUGCAUCACUACCAGAUGGACCUGCGUUGUAUUAGCUAGUAGGUGAGGUAACGGCUCACCUAGGCGACGAUACAUAGCCGACCUGAGAGGGUGAUCGGCCACACUGGGACUGAGACACGGCCCAGACUCCUACGGGAGGCAGCAGUAGGGAAUCUUCGGCAAUGGACGAAAGUCUGACCGAGCAACGCCGCGGGAGUGAAGAAGGGUUUCGGAUCGUAAAGCUCUGUUGUAAGAGAAGAACGGGUGUGAGAGUGGAAAGUUCACACUGUGACGGUAUCUUACCAGAAAGGGACGGCUAACUACGUG